rnacentral:rRNA from 1 species
UACAACAUAGUGUUAAUGCACCAGAUCCCAACUCUGCAGUUAAGCGCGUUCAAGCUAGAGUAGUACUGCGAUGGGUGACUGCCCAGGAAGUCCUAGUAUUUUAC